CUCGUUUGGGCUGUUGAACACUUUAAAAUAUAUCUUUUCGGCAAGGACUUUGAACUAGCAAAUCUCCCUCAGAAUUAUUCUACAGGAGAGUGUUUCGAGACAAGAUCCCGUCAGCUCCAGACAUGGAAUUCAAAAAAGUUGAUGAAGAUGUAAGAGACAGAGAUCUGCAACUGAAAGAAAAGGGGAAAGUUUAUGGGGACCAAAAAAGAAAAGCAACGGAUAAUAACAUAGAAAUAGG
rnacentral:misc_RNA from 1 species